rnacentral:rRNA from 1 species
GACGAACGCUGGCGGCGUGCUUAACACAUGCAAGUCGAACGAAGAGCGAUGGAAGCUUGCUUCUAUCAAUCUUAGUGGCGAGCGGGUGAGUAACGCGUAAUCAACCUGCCCUUCAGAGGGGGACAACAGUUGGAAACGACUGCUAAUACCGCAUACGAUCUAAUCUCGGCAUCGAGGAUAGAUGAAAGGUGGCCUCUACAUGUAAGCUAUCACUGAAGGAGGGGAUUGCGUCUGAUUAGCUAGUUGGAGGGGUAACGGCCCACCAAGGCGAUGAUCAGUAGCCGGUCUGAGAGGAUGAACGGCCACAUUGGGACUGAGACACGGCCCAGACUCCUACGGGAGGCAGCAGUGGGGAAUCUUCCGCAAUGGACGAAAGUCUGACGGAGCAACGCCGCGUGAGUGAUGACGGCCUUCGGGUUGUAAAGCUCUGUUAAUCGGGACGAAAGGCCUUCUUGCGAAUAGUGAGAAGGAUUGACGGUACCGGAAUAGAAAGCCACGGCUAACUACG